rnacentral:pre_miRNA from 2 species
AGCCCGCAGCAUUUGAGGUGAAGUUCUGUUAUACACUCUGACUGUGGCUACGUGGAGGUCAGUGCAUCACAGAACUUUGUCUCGAGAGCUUUUUA